UAAAAGUUGGAGGGUGAUGUAAAUCAGAUAUUGAUAUGAAAUUGAUUCAUAAUAUAAGAGAUGAAUCUGUUGUGCUUUUUAUGACCUGAAUUGAAUGCUAUUCUAAAUGUAAAUUGCUACUAUAAAAUGAAAUAUGAGAUGCUUUGAUGACCCGAAAGGAACUUUGAACAAUAUUUGUUCCAUGAAUUUAGAUGUUGUGAGAUGCCUCCUUGAUCCUAAAAGCAAUUAUUAUGAACAUUUUACUCAUAAC
rnacentral:lncRNA from 1 species